CUGAACCAGCCAAGUAGCGCGAAGGAUGACUGCCCUAUGGGUUGUAAACUUCUUUUAUAAAGGAAUAAAGUCGGGUAUGCAUACCCGUUUGCAUGUACUUUAUGAAUAAGGAUCGGCUAACUCCGUGCCAGCAGCCGCGGUAAUACGGAGGAUCCGAGCGUUAUCCGGAUUUAUUGGGUUUAAAGGGAGCGUAGAUGGAUGUUUAAGUCAGUUGUGAAAGUUUGCGG
rnacentral:rRNA from 2 species